rnacentral:rRNA from 1 species
UACGUAGGGUGCAAGCGUUAAUCGGAAUUACUGGGCGUAAAGCGUGCGCAGGCGGUGAUGUAAGACAGUUGUGAAAUCCCCGGGCUCAACCUGGGAACUGCAUCUGUGACUGCAUCGCUGGAGUGCGGCAGAGGGGGAUGGAAUUCCGCGUGUAGCAGUGAAAUGCGUAGAUAUGCGGAGGAACACCGAUGGCGAAGGCAAUCCCCUGGGCCUGCACUGACGCUCAUGCACGAAAGCGUGGGGAGCAAACAGGG